CGCGGACGCUUCCCGCUUCCUCCCCCCCCCCCCACCCCUUCCCGCCUUUGCCAUGGCGACACCGAGCGGCCUCCUUCGCGCCCUGCACCGCGGGACCCUCGGCCAGAUUACUAAGGAAGAUACCAAAAUAUCAAAUAAUACUGGACCCAGGACAAAACCCUGCAAAACUCUGUUUGGUAUAUCUUUCCACAACCACUGUAAGCCAUCAAAUAUGGUCAUGGAUCGGAUUUUCUCUGGUAUCCAGCCAACUGGGACGCCCCAUUUGGGUAACUACCUUGGAGCCAUUCAGAACUGGGUGAACCUGCAGGAAGAGGGCAGCUCAGUGCUGUAUAGCAUUAUGGACAUGCACUCGCUCACCAUGCCCAAGGAACCAGCUGUCCUGCGCCAGAGCAUAUUGGACACCACUGCUGCCAUCCUUGCCUGUGGUAUUGACCCAAAGAAGUGCUUCCUGUUCCGACAGUCACUGGUUCCUGAGCAUGCAGAACUUGCCUGGAUUCUUGGGUGCUUAACUAACGUGCCGCGUCUGCUACGCUUGCCCCAGUGGAAGAUGAAGUGUGCCAGCCAGAAUAAUGAAGGAACUGUUGGUUUGUUGACUUACCCUGUGCUUCAAGCAGCAGAUAUUUUGCUGUACAAGUCGACACAUGUUCCCGUUGGAGAAGAUCAAGUCCUGCACCUGGAACUAGCCCAAGAUAUAGCACACCAUUUCAACAAGAAAUAUGGAGAAUUCUUUCCUGUGCCCAAAGCCAUUUUAAGUACAACGAAGAAAAUAAAAUCCCUCAGAGAUCCAACAGUGAAGAUGUCCAAGUCAGACCCACAGAAGUUAGCUACUGUUAACAUAGCAGACAGCCCUGAUGAAAUAGUGCUGAAAUUCCGCAAAGCUGUGACUGACUUUACCUCUGAGGUGACCUACGACCCAGCCAGUCGCCCUGGUGUCUCCAAUCUGGUCUCCAUUCAUGCUGCAGUAACAGGGCUUAGCAUCAAAGAAGUGCUGCACCAAUCUGCUGGUCUCGACACUGCUCACUACAAAAUGGUGGUAGCAGAGUCAGUUAUUCAAAAAUUUGCACCUAUCAGGAAUGAAAUCAGGAGACUCCAGGAGGACAAAUCCCAUCUGAUAAAGGUUUUAGAGGAUGGAGCAAAAAAAGCCAAAGAACUGGCUGCCCCCAUCUAUCAAGAAAUAAGACAAAUGGUGGGAUUUCAGUAGAAACUACUGAGUAGUUGCAAGGACUUUUGUUUCCUGGGACAGACGUUUUGUUAUUUCUGUCUUCUUAAUCAUUUUGGUUUGAAACAACAACUUUUUUUCCAGGAAAGAUCCAAGUAGAACAUUGAAGGUGUUUGCAUUAAAAAAAUCUGCAUUAAGCCAGGUAUUUCUAGUGGGACCAGCACUGAGCUUGUCUGCAUAGUCAAAGAGGGAGGGCAGAAGCACUCACAAUUCAUGAAGAAAUCAUGCAAAACACACUAUAAGGUUGCCCAAAUGGGGUUUUGGGCUUUUCCAUUGACCGCUGCAAGCAGCUGAGGUAUAGCCAAGGUGAUCAGAAUCUAGCAGAAAGAUCUUUAAUCUUCUGAAGAACAUCCUUAGCUGUGUAUGUGAUCUUGGUACAGAUGGACAGCUCAUCCCAUUGGUGGUUAUUCAGCUUUGAUACCGUGGUGGAAUGUGUUCUUGGAUAACUAGAAUAAAAACACAGGCUUGCAAAUCAAAAUGCUCAGGGUGAUGAAGAGAGAACUUAAUGCUUCUCCCUAUUGUGUCUUCAAACUCCCUAUCGUGUCAAUCAAACAUGAUUUUAUAUCUGCAUCUAGUUUGUGUGAAGUGAGUCAGUGUGUCGUAUGGAUAUGGCUAUCCAUACUCUAAAACUCACUGUGACUGCUGAGCUAGAUGGCCUCUUUGAUAGUCACUCCACAGAAUCCAGAGAGUGGACUUGAAUGUCACUUCUGCCGCCUGUGCCAUCCUGGCAAUCAGGCCUAAGGUGCUUUAGUGAGAAAUGACAUGUGUUUCAGCUGCUCCUGUUCCACCUGCUGUUUGGUUUAGCAGGGAGCUCCAGGAUUUUCAGUUCAGCAUCAAAUCUAAGAUUUCUGUAGAAAAGGUGCAGUGGAAAAGAUGUAAUCCUAUGUGAAAGAAAUCUUAGGUUGAGAAAUCAGAGAAUGUUCUGUAAAAUUUACAAAAUUACUUGUUUAGAAAAUUGUGCUGAAGCCAGAGAUAGAAUGGGAUUAAAUAGAUCUUUAUGAACUCUCAGUACUGAACCUCAAGAAAGCUCAGUGAUGGGAGAAUGGUGUCAACCUGCACUGGACUUAGGCCGCACAAAACCCGCAGACUGGGACUCAAGGACCAUGGCAUUUGUUGGGAAACGUGUGGCAAAGGGGAAUUGCCAAAAGGAGACAAGCCUCUUCUGAAGACUGAGUAGUAGUACAUGUUAAAAGGGAUCUGGAGAAGAGAACUGCCAUGCAAGAACUCUAUGAUGACAGAGUUUCUAAAGUUAGUCAAGACUAGAGGAACAGAGUGGAUGGAGACAGAAUGAUGGGAAACCAAACUCGGUGUAGUCAAGUCCAAGGUAAUGUCCUCUGGAAAGAAUAUAUUCAAAAAUAGUCUUUGGUUUCAAAUUAACUGUAGCAGACUAGGAAGGGACUAUAACCGCAUAUUUAGGUAGUUGUACAAAACUUUUGUCAGCGUUUAACAGCUGCAUUGGUCUGCAUGGGAGCUAAGACAAAAAAUAAAGGUACACAGUUAUCACUGCUUAAUGACUUGGCAUAAAAUGUUUGCUGUGACACUUGUGCACUUUUAGACAUGGGUUGAUUGCUGCAAAGGUCCCACAAGAGAAGCUAAAACACUGCUCAUGGAGAUACUGCAGAUCUUUAACAUGAGUGUGUCUAGCUUCUACCUGUUCCUCUUUUUCACUAGCAAAGAUAGGAGCAUAUAUUCAAAGACAAGUCAUAGAUUCAAGGUGUCUUUACACUUCUGAUACUCAAAUCACCUAAUAUAUAGGGUUGCCAUUCAACACACCUUCUUUGCAGUGAAAAGGAAAUAGCAGUGUUCAUAUGUCUUCAAUAAAAUUUAUUUUAAAAGGAGGGGGGGGUGACAUCAACAGGCAAUUCUGGCUUGUUACCCAAACUGUUCUGAGUAGUCUUUCCAAAACUUAGAGAUUAUUAUUUUUUUUUAAGAAAAUCACGUAGGUGAAGCAGGAAGAAAAGUUUCAAAAGAUCCCUUUCUUUGGGGUAGGGUUUAAUAUAAUACAUACUUAGCAGUGUUUCAAUCAAAUUUACUAUUUUUCUCUUUUUAAUUCAAGAAUGGAUUGCAGUUUUCCCCUCCCUUUCCCCUAUCAGUCAAACAAAUCUUACUUGCCUAACCUAUUUCCUUCAAGUAAGGAAACAUGCCUGUUUUUUCUUCUUCAGGAAAGUUAAACUUGUGUAAAAUGAGUAUGUUCACCUACUGAUUGUUGACUUAGCUUUUUAUUUUAGUAGCUCCUGUGGAGGAAUUCUCAAAAUAAAAGCUCUUUUUGCCCAAUGUGAAAUAAUCCCAGUUCCACUAACAGCCAUGAUCAUUAGAGUCCCCUGAGAGGAGACAACUGUAAUGUAGGUGUGUGCAGUUAUCUGGUGCCUAUUUCAGUUUUCUUAGAGUGUGGCUUUUCUGGGAAGUUAACCAUCUUGGCAUUCAGGUUGAGUCUAGCUGCCUCUUUGCGUUCCUUGAGCUGUUUACUUAGCAUCUGGGAGGAGUUUGGCAAGAAGAAGCUGAGCUUAUGGCAACGUGUGCUCACUACUACCAGCAGAAGUUGUUUGAUACUAAGCUACUCUGAUGUCUUUGCUCUUCUUCUGCCUCCCUGUUUCCUUUUCAGAACAUCUUUGCAAACACCCUUUCCAGAUGGUGUUCUGUGGCAGUGUUAACUUUAACAAAGUAGUGUGGAUGAGUUAGAGCAGCUUUUUGGAGAGUUGUUGGGGAAGGCUUGAUGCUAUAGUAUUCAGAAGGAUUUGUCUCACUCACUCUAGUCCAGGUUAUUACAGUGCCAGGGAUUUGCUGUUUGUUUACAUCUGGAGUGCAGUAGGUGCACCACUGAAAUGUGUUUUCAUGUUUGGUUUCAUCCAGUUCAUAUUCCCUGAGACUGCUCUGUGAUGCCUGCUGAAGUCUAGUUAGUGCAGACAGUGGGGGGGUCUGCAGAAGCACACUCACUCCUGAGCCCAGCCACAGUGCUGGUGUUAAGACGUUCCCUGUGGUGCCGUGGAAGUCAUUGUAAGGUGUUCUUUUCCAGGACUGGGUGGGAAAAAGAUCCAACUGCGUCUUUCCUGGCUGGAGAAAGAAGAGUUGAAGGAUGGAGAGGUGUCCUUACCCCUUGCUGUGUGGCCCUUUGUGUCAGCUUCCUUUUCUUCAGUGAUCCUUUUCCUCAAGUGUGUGCAGUAAUUUGUGUCUUAGUCUCAGAAUCUCCUCUUUUCCCAUUCCUGUAUGUUUAAUGCCUGUGAAGAAUGUAUGUAGUGGUUGGGAUCUGCAGAUCCCAGCAUCUCCAGGUAACGGAAGAGUUUCACUUUAGAGAUAAACAUGAACUCCACGUGAAUAACUAAGAUCUAAGUAAAACAUUUAUACACAUAUUACCUUUGCGGCCAGUGGUUCCUAGGAAGUCAUCACUGAUCACAAGACACUGAUAGUGAGUCUCAGUUCUGUGCUUCCAAUUUAGAGCACAGAAUUUACUGGCAAUUUUAGAUUCAGGAACAAUAAGCAGAGACUCCAGAUGGUGAUUGACCUCAUAAAUUAAUUCUGCCACUGCUUUUGCAUACACCCCUGCCUCAAAUAACUGGAGUGUAAGUAUAUUGUACGUUAUACUGGGAUUUGUUUGUAACUCUUAAAGAUGGGGCUGAAGUAUGCUUAGUUUUCAAACAGCAUGGUCUGGGUUCCUAGAUCCUCCAGAAGGUUUUGUGCAUAGUUCUGAUUCGGUGUGUGUUUAUCUACAAAAAACCAAGCAAAAUUCCUUUGCAGGAUUAUGGCUGCCUCUAUUCAAGGUUAGGGAGUUAAUCUGAGUGAGCUGAAAGUUUAAGGAAGGACAGUGAAAUGUGAUCCCUGGGGACUGACCUGCAUCUAAAUGUUUUGGGACUAUAGGUUAUCAGAGCAAAUGUUUUAUUAUCCUUGGUUAAGGGCCAUCAUCAUCCUGACAACAGCAGAGCAGUAAAUAAUGCUGGUGAAAGCCUUUAUGUUAGCUUAUGUAGAAACUCUGUAUCUGAUUUGUUGAGGACUGUACUAUAGCAUGAAACUUUUAACUUUUCUGGUCUCCACAGUUUGCUAGAUGAUUUUGUUAGCAGAAGUCUGUUUGGAAACCAUUAGCUAAAGCCAAAUCUAAUCCUCAGAUCCAAAGCCUUUGGAUGUUUUCCCAAAAUGGGUAUUUCCCAAAACAGCUUGUUUUUGAUAAGCUACAAUACCAAUUUCAGUAGUUGUUGUAGGAUCAGUAAGAGCCAGAGGGCCGUUCUGAAUGACUCAUGCGUAUUUUUCAUUACUGCUCUGAUGCACGUUCUACUUAUCCAUAUGGUUCAAGGAUUAUGACAAAACUCAGAGAGGGUCUGUGUGUUGUUCUGGUAAUAGCAACAAUAUGGACCCAAGUGGGUUUGAGUCCUAAAUCUAAUGAGCACGCUCUUUCAGUGGCCCAGCUUGGUUAGAUUUAUGUUCAGAACAACAGAUAGAUCUUUCACCUGUACCGAUGUCUCUGCAUUUGAGUUCCUGGAUGCUGCUGCCUACCUGUUCAUUUAUGACUGAUUGAUUGCUUCACAGAGCAAAAUAGUCUAGCAAGCUAGCAUAGGGAGUCUAGUGGAAAAGGGUUUCUGUUCAGGAAAGACGUUAUCUGUUCUUGCAAGGAAAACAAAAUCCAUCUUUCUGUUAUAUCAGAUGGUCUAAUUUCCUCAAAUUAUUUGAUCUGUUCCUUCAUUCUGCAUAAACUCGGCAACAAUAGCUGCAAGAAGAAUGCCGGUGUAUUGCAUUGUCAAAAGUCUUGAAGGACUCAGGCAUGUCCUCUCGUCAUUUCAGAAGUCUCUUACAUCGUGGGACUUCACUGAUUGCUUCAGCCAGUUUCAGGGAAAAUGCUGUAGCAAAACUGUGAUCAUAUGUGACAUUGUUCAUCUAAUUAAAGCUUUUGUGGUUUGGUUUGGGUUUUUUAACUCACUAGGUUGUGAGAGAAGACUUUUGUUAAACACUGAAUUUCCAAUGAAGCUUUCUAUCACGCUUAGUCCUUUGGUGACCAGAUGACAGCUGAAGUAAUGGAGAAUUCUCUUUAUUGUGACAAAAGGUUCUGUGCUGAAUCCCACUGUCUUUGCUGUCAGUUUUGUUGGCUGUGCUAAUGGUAGUAUUGUGGAAGGUUUGACAGAGUAGUAGUUAUUUGGUUUUUUGCCAUUGAAAAACCAGUCCACCUGCAACAGUCCCACAUUAUUAUGUAAAUGGAAUUCAUUGAUCAUUUUGCUUUUAGGCAGCAGCUUUGGUUUCACAAUUAUUUUGCAUGAAACCAAAUGCCAACCUCCUGCACCAAGGGAUGAGCACAUGUGCCCAGGUACAAUAAACAGUUUAACAUCUGGGAAGAUAUUUUGCUACUGUGGUAAAUUGCUGUCAUAGAACACCAUGACUGAAGAUGAAAUUAUCCACUACAGGAGCGGUCUUGUGCUGCCUGUGGACAUGAAACUAAGCACUGAGCUUAACGUCUGUUGUGCUGUUGUGCUCUCAGCACUCCAACAUGGCUGUGAGACAGGAACAGCAAAUCUGUGCCACACCAGAAGGCUCGAUCAGUUCCAGAUGUGCUAUAUUUGGUCUAUCUGCAAGAUGAAAUGUCAGGACAAGAGUUCCAGCACCGAAAUCCUUAAAAGUUAUUAAAUGCUUGGUGGUAACAGCAUGCUUGUAAAAGCCUGGGUAUGAUAGCAUGGUCAUAUAGCCUCAUUCAUAUGGCUGACACAAGAAGUCACACGGCUGUAUGGGAUGGUGGAGUAAAGUAAGCCACCUGCUUCCUCGAUAUGAUCAAUAUAAAGACAGUACGAGGCUAAUUUGAAGGGGUAAUGGAAUAACCCUUACAGGUGGGAAGCAACAGCUUAUGGCAGAGCAAGGUGGUACUAGAUCUCUCUUGGUGUCUGUCAUGGUUUAAUCCCAGCCGGUAAUGAAGUACCACCCAGCCGCUCACUCACUUCUCCCCCAGUGAGGUGGGAAAGAAAAUUGAAAGAGUAAAAGUGGGAAGACUUGUGGGUCGAGAUAAAGACAGGUUAAUAGGUAAAGCAAAAGCCGCGCAUGCAAGAGCGGAGCAAAACAAGGAAUUCAUUCACCGCUUCCCACCGCAGGCAGGUGCUCAGCCAUCCCCAGGUCAGCAGGGCUCCAUCACACGUAACACUUACUCGGGAAGACGAACACCAUCACUCUUAACAUCCCCCCCCUCCUGCUUCUUCCCCCAGCCUUAUAUGCUGCGGAUGAUGCCAUAUGGGGAGGAAUUACCCCUGUGGUCAGCUGUCCCCACUGUGCCCCCUCCCAGUUUCUUGUGCCCCUCAGCCUACUUGCUGGCGGGGCAGCCUGAGGAGCAGAAGGGGCCUUGGCCCUGCGUAAGCGCUGCUCAGCAGUGACAGACAUCCCUGUGUUACCAGCGCCGUUUCCAGCACAAAUACAAACCACAGCCCCAUACCGGCUAUGGUGAAGAAAAUUAACUCUACCCCGGCCAAAACCAGCAUAUUCUCCUAAACUAUUCUGAAAACAGAUGCUUGCUGUUCAGGUCAUUCAAACACAGGCAAGAUCCUGCAUGGCCAGCAUCACUAGUCCCACAUGCUGUUGUAUCUACAACUCUCCCGUUGGUCUGAUUUCCGAGGCAUACCUUUGUUGUUGGUGUGACUUUAUUGUCAUCCAUCAACAUGAAAUAAUGGUCACGUGCUGAUAAAAUUAAUGAAACUUCUGUUAGAAACAUUGAAUGUAUGUCCUCUGCUACCUGUGGUGAAAACUUUCCUCGUGCCCCAGGGUUUAUAGAAACAUAUUGUUAAGCUAAAUACAGAUGAAACUUAUCAAAACAAGACUACUCUCUGGCAUUACCCAGAGUUUCUGGUGUAGGUGGUCUCUGGCUUCAUUCACCCUGUUUACCUCCAUGUUUGCUUCCUUAAACCACAUCACUCUCUGAGUAAAGUAAAACCGUGUAUGUUGAAUGUUGUGAGACUGACUUUUUAUUGUGACUGGAAACAAUUGUUCAAAUAUAUUUCAAGAUUCUCUUUGUGGUGUUUGCUGAAUGAAUAACAAAGGUCUCAAUAAGUGCCUCUUGAGUACUCAAGCCAAGAAAGAUCUUUCUGAGUGGGUCGGGGCUUGCUCUGCCCACACUUACUCCUUCACAGCCUGCCUGGCAGAUGUUCCUGCAACAAGAAUGGGAAAAAGAGCAAUUUUCUGUUUAGGCUUGUGGGCCAAAUGCAAACUGUGAGUGGCAGUGUAGCAUUUUUAGGCAAACUUCAUCAACUGACAUAUGUACUUGCAAUCCCCCAAAAUUGAAGUUGUGUGGAUAUUCGGAGGAAGGGGAAAGGGCAGGUAUUUACCUUACAGUAGCUGUGGUUCUUCAAGGCUUGUUACCCACAUAUGUUGUGUGUCCUGCCUUCCAUCUGUUCUCCUGAGAUUCUUGCUCUUAAGUAUAGGUUACACUUUUGUCUUGCAACAGGAAGCAAGGUGUACAGAGUUAAUGCUGGGCUUCAUUGCCUGUGUCUCUUAAAAGAAUCCAGUCAUAUGUUCCUGGGGCAUAUGUGGAAUCCGUGUGGACGAGGCAUCUCAAAGGACCGCUGUUUUAACUCUAGCUUUGAUGCACAGAAAGCUCCUCCCCAUCCUACCAAGAACACUUCACAAGAAGCACUGGAUUUACUGUCUAGUCACAGGCUGAACACACUGCAUGUCAGCGACUGGACCCAUUCCUGUCCCAGAGCUAGCGCGUUUGCUCAGCACGCACCUUGACACACAAGACAGAAGGGCCUUGACAGACCUUGGGAAAACGUUAGUUGGGAGAGGAUUGCUGCUGCCAUGGAGGCAACUGAUCUGAGCUGUGACACUCCUGGCUUAUGCUCAGCAACAUGAAUCCCCCCUACUAGAAGGAAGCUGUGAAGUGGAUGAACUUACUAUGUGGGCUGCGUGAAGGCUGCAGGUGGCGUAGCGUUGGUGUGACCUGUUGGGAGAGUAUCAUUUUGGUGUUUAGUAACUAUUGCAGAAACGACUUGGGUGGGCUGGGAUUCUGAAGAUCUUGGAUUCUUGGAUCCAGGUGUGCUGCUCAGUUGUACAGAGGAGCAGGUUGUUCUGGCUCCGCUGAAGAUGAAAUGUGCUCUUGCAAGGGACUUAUUUCUAAUGGGCUUAAUUCCUACAGAGAAACAGUGCUGUUAAAGUAGAUUCACAAUAUACCUGUGUAGAGUAACAGCAAAACUGAGGUGGUGAGCAUCGCUGCUGUUGUAAUCCAUUCUGCUUACCAGCAUCACAUGCUGGCAGGAAUAGAAACUUUUUUCCUUCUUUAAGGCAGCAAAGUCCGGACUCAAAAGGGCUUCACUCUACUCUGCUGCUUUGGAGGAGAUGGAUUAGCUGAAGUGUGAAUGUCAUCUUUGUGGUUUAUGAGGAUGUUUCAGUAAAUGAUGAGUGGGGUUGUCAAGGGAGAUCUCUGGAUGGCCUGAGAAGAUUUAAUGGGUGCUGGAAGGUUGGGGGGUGGGGGUGGUGUUUUAGUUCUCGUUAGUUUAAAAGAAAAGUGUAACGUAGCUGCAGCUGAGGAUCAGCAGCUGAGAAUUAAAAUAGAGAAGAUUUCCUGUCAACCUUGUAGAAUGUUUUGCUACAGCUUCAUAGAAAACAAUGAAAUGUGCAUCACCAAGGCCA